AGGGAAGUAAAUUCCUCAAAAGAAUAGGAAUGGUCCUUGAAUUCAGCUCUUCUGUACACUUGGAAGAGUAUACCUUAUAUCAAGAAGAUGGUAUAGCAAUUCUUCCAGCACAAGCAGUCAAUAAAUCAAUGUUUUAAAGAAAAAGGUACUUACAUUUUUGCUCCAUGUCUUAGACUGGAUCAGUAGAAUAAGUAGAAAUUUAUAAGAAUCAAGAUCAUCCAUACUAUACUGUUAAGUUUUCAUGCUAUCUGAACUAGAAAACCAAAAACCAGACAAUCAAACAAGUCUUUUGGGGCGGGAGGAAGAAAAGAAAAUAAAAAACUAUAAGAUGAAAAUGAGAUCCAUAUAAAAGUACUACAAUCAAAUUCUAGUCUAAGAAGAAAAUAUUGUUUUCCAUAUGUAUUUUCCUACAUUUCAUGGCACGAGGUUUUGUUGGCACCUUUCUAGUUUCAUUAAUUUUUUAUAUUCUGUACCUGACAAAUGUAUCAAUGUAAAAGUAUGUUAUCAAAUUUCCUGAAAGCUUGAUUCAUUUUACAGAAUGGACACAAAAUACCUCGAUUGGUACUGCUGUUAGUCUUUUCAUUCUUGAAUGCAUUUGAUCAAAAUUACUGAAAGUAGUAUUUCUUGUCAAUCAAUGGCAGCAGGUUCCACCUCCUUGAGGGCAGUUCAGCACAGCUGAAGAUCUAUGCCUCAGUAACAGUGAUAGCAGAAAGAAUUUUAAACCACUGUACAGCACCACUUAAACUGAAGAAAGGAUGUUCUACGCUGCAGUUACAGAAAGGUUUUAUUUUGCCUGAAACACUGAUCUACCAGCAAAAGAUGAGAUGUUCAAAUACUCUCUCCAUAUUCUGCAGUAAUUGCUGGUCAUACUUUUUUUUCUGAAUUGACCUUCAGAGAUAUCACUCUUCUUUAAAAAAAAAAAAAAAUGUUUCCAAAGGCAUGAUGGAGAUUUUUUUCAUGAACAUUUCACUGAUGGAAAAUGGGGGCGGGGUGGGGAGGGGGGGGUGGUUAGUUUUGUUUCUUACUUGGGUUUUGUUUGUUUGUUUGAUUGAUUGA
rnacentral:lncRNA from 1 species